rnacentral:lncRNA from 1 species
GCCCUGAGUUUGAUUCCGGGUACCGGAAAAAAAAAAAGACAGCUAAGGGCCGUUGCUGCCUUGCACUUGAGCUGUACGCGCGGAAACAGCCCCGUUUGCUUCUGGUCACAGCUGAGGCCUCAGCGGCGCAGUGGCCCCUGCUGAAGACGUCCUGGUUCCUUGCGAGCCCAGUGGUGGGGCAGAAGUGAGAGGCUUCACCUGGGCCGGCUCACCCCCGUCCUGCUGUGGCAGCACCCUCCUUCCCGCCCCCAGCAGCAUGAGAGCACCGCCCCCAAGCCCCGGGGCGCCCUCCAGUGGAUGCGUGUCCCUGGUGAACGCUGGCCAGCCCCGAGUCUUGGUCUUUGCCCGCUCUGAGGCACUGACCUCCGGCCCGGUGCAAGUCUCUGCUGUCUUCUUUCUAGCGCUCACAUCUCUGUUACUGUUGUAGUCAGGGUUUUGGCAAGGGAAUACAUUUAAUAUAGGACACAAUUUAUAGGAUUAUUUUAUGAUACUUACCCAAAAAGUCAAAUAUGGAGGAGAGCAAGAGAACAGCCACACACUAGAGACCCAAAGAAUCCAGCCAAGGGCCUGGAUCCCACAGCAGUGUCCUCCACAAGUCCAGCCAGAGGCCUAGGGCUCACGGCAGGGUCCCAUGCUUGUCCACAUUGAGGAUCUGCACCCAGAAGGCCCAAAGGCCAGGGGUGGAAGCCAGAAAACCUGUGCCUGUGAGGUGAAGGAUUUGUGCCACCAGGUGAGGGGUCCACAUUGGAGCCAGGAAGUGAUGCUCAUGCUGAAGACCAGAGCCCCCUAAUGAGAACAGCAGCCGUUCCCAAUGACAGCGAGGCCCCGAGCCCCUUCUCCAGUGAGGACAGCCGAGUUCACAUCAGGAAAACCGUCCGCAGCAAGCUUCUCCUCGAACACCAACAGCCCCGACCUUCCCCUCCAGUUCUGUUUUUGUGCCAUUGGCAACAAUCCUCAGGCACACCUGUGGAGGAUGUGGCUGGCGGCUGGCAUGGCUUCCACUGUGUCUGUAUCGGAUGGCCGACAGCCCCUCUGCACUGCCCAUGAGACCCCGCUCUCCUCAGAGGCACCCUGUCCACCCCUGGCGAGAGCCC